CAGUCGCCGCGGUAAUACGUAGGGUGCAAGCGUUGCUCGGAAUUACUGGGCGUAAAGGGAGCGUAGGCGGACAUUUAAGUCAGGGGUGAAAUCCCAGAGCUCAACUCUGGAACUGCCUUUGAUACUGGGUGUCUUGAGUGUGAUAGAGGUAUGUGGAACUCCGAGUGUAGAGGUGAAAUUCGUAGAUAUUCGGAAGAACACCAGUGGCGAAGGCGACAUACUGGAUCAUUACUGACGCUGAGGCUCGAAAGCGUGGGGAGCAAACAGGAUUAGAUACCCCGGUAGUCCCUGUCUCUUAUAC
rnacentral:rRNA from 1 species